CCUACGGGGGGCUGCAGUGAGGAAUAUUGGUCAAUGGGCGCGAGCCUGAACCAGCCAAGUAGCGUGAAGGCUGACUGCCCUACGGGUUGUAAACUUCUUUUAUAAAGGAAUAAAGUGAGGCACGUGUGCCUUUUUGUAUGUACUUUAUGAAUAAGGAUCGGCUAACUCCGUGCCAGCAGCCGCGGUAAUACGGAGGAUCCGAGCUUUAUCCGGAUUUAUUGGGUUUAAAGGGAGCGUAGAUGGGUUGUUAAGUCAGUUGUGAAAGUUUGCGGCUCAACCGUAAAAUUGCAAUUGAUACUGGCAGUCUUGAGUGGGCGAGAAGUAUGCGGAAUGCGUGGUGUAGCGGUGAAAUGCAUAGAUAUCACGCAGAACUCCGAUUGCGAAGGCAGCAUACGGACGCCCGACUGACGCUGAAGCACGAAAGCGUGGGUAUCGAACAGGAUUAGAUACCCCAGUAGUC
rnacentral:rRNA from 1 species